UGUGUCUUCAUGUGUACAGCAGCGAUAAUAGUACCUCCGUGUAUAAUGCUGCUGUCAGGCUGACUGUUGUGAUUGGUGGGGAGAGAACAGAGCUGCGCUGCACCCAGAACCUCAGGAAAUGGCACCUCUUUGAAAGGCUGUUCCCGUGGGUGCCCUUGACUCCUGAGCACGCUGGGGUUAGGGUACCCACCGCCCUGGAAAUCGAAAAAUUAUCAAAAUGUUCACCAGUGAUGUUGGUGAUUAUGCCCAAGACUCAGAAAAAGCCAAUAAAGUGGUUCAAUAAAACAUCAACUUCAGGUAUGUUCCUCUGCUCUGUGCGAGGCAGCCGAGUGAACACUCUGGAGAUUUCCAUUGGCUGAGCCUGUCCCUGGCCAUCCCAGGGGCCAAAGUGUUUCCUAACUUUAAAAGUAUAAUCACAGAACCAGCACCCGGCAUAACAUAAACUGUUCAUGUAUGUAAAUCAGUACCUUCCCCCUUGUCUGUCCCUUCUGGAGGUGAAACAGAAUUCUCAUUUAUUCUCUUUUGCUCUGUGGAUAAAGUAAUUUUUUUCUCGUUAUAAAAGAAAGAAUUCUGAUUCUCGGCCUUGGAACCAGCUGAAGAAUAGACCUGAAUAUGCAGAGCAGAGUGGGGGUGAAUGGAGUGAAAUUCUGCUGAAUUCACAGCUCGAGAUUCUCCCUCCGAACUUCGGAUGAAGCUGCCUAUGGAUGUGCUGCCCUUUCUCCUUUCCAAACGGGGUUGUGUAGUCUGUCUCCUCACCACUACACAGCAGAGGGUGACACCACCUAUUAAGUCUCUCUUGGUUGUCAUCAGUGAGGGGGCGGCUGGCUCUGGACUUGCUCCAUGCUGGUGGCUUCAGAACGAUGUGGUCUCUUUAAAGGAACACAGGGGAGGAAGAGAGUGAGUGGACAGCAGGUUGACUUUCUGCUGUGCACAAAUCAGCCCCCAGCUGAAUGGGGUGUGUCGAUUCCACCCACCAGCAUUGCUUGUCCCUCUUCUCUGCCACGUUGGAAGAUAAAUCGAAGCCACCUGUGGAAGGAGAGCGCCUAUGAAGAUGAGGUAUCAUCAUUACCUCAUUCUGAGCACCCUUCUGCCAAGUACAUAGAGGAAAAUUAUUAAUCACCCCUUACCUGGACAGUAUAAGUAUCGCGUCUGCAGCUGUGAUCUGCCGAUGAUUAAAAAGCACUCAUUCCACCGACGGUGCCGCCAGAUCAUUGCACAUCCUUGAGGAGCAUCACUCACAGGCACUGCUCCUUGACAUCCUUCACGACCCAGCCGAGGUACCCAGAAGGUCUUUAACGUACUCGAACGAAGCAGCCGAGUGAACGCUUAGCCCCCUCUCAGGGCAGCCCAGCUCUGCCUGCACCAGCACGAGAGGCCACCUGGACAGGA